GAGCAGUACUCAGAUGCACCGGAGGAAAUCCGUGAUGCUCGGCAUCCUCAUGUUACUCGCCAGAGUCAGGAGGACCAACACAGGAUUAACUACGAGGAGAGCAUGAUGGUGCGUUUGAGUGUCAGUAAACGAGAGAAAGGACGACGGAAACGAGCAAAUGCCAUGAGCUCACAACUUCAUUCCCUCACGCACUUCAGUGACAUCAGUGCUUUGACAGGAGGGACUGCUCAUCUUGAUGAGGAUCACAAUCCUGUUAAGAAGCGGAAGAAGAUACCUAAGAAAGGUGGGAAGAAAAAAGGUUUUCGGAGGCGGCGGUGAUUCUGGGUGUACAUAUUUAUAUAUAUUUUUUGUCAUCCUGGGAUACUUCUAAUUUCAUCAUAUGUA